AGAGUUUGAUCCUGGCUCAGAACGAACGCUGGCGGCAGGCUUCAUACAUGCAAGUCGAGCGCGAAAGCUCCUUCGGGAGCAAGUAGAGCGGCGGACGGGUGAGUAACAGGUGGAUAACCUGCCCUUCGGCGGGGGACAACGGUUGGAAACGACCGCUAAUACCGCAUGUGGUCCCAUAACCGCGGUGACGAGGAAAGGCGCUUUCAAGCGUCGCCGAAGGAUGGAUCCGCCCCCCAUUAGCUAGUUGGUGAGAUAAUAGCUCACCAAGGCAACGAUGGGUAGCCGAGCUGAGAGGUUGAUCGGCCACACUGGGACUGAGACACGGCCCAGACACCUACGGGUGGCAGCAGUAGGGAAUAUUGCGCAAUGGGCGAAAGCUUGACGCAGCCAUGCCGCGUGAGUGAUGAAGGCCUUCGGGUCGUAAAGCUCUUUUCUGAGGGAAGAACAGCUGGUAUAGGAAAUGGCACUGCCCUGACGGUACCUCAGGAAUAAGGAACGGCUAACUCCGUGCCAGCAGCCGCGGUAAUACGGAGGUUCCAAGCGUUGUUCGGAUUUACUGGGCGUAAAGGGAGCGCAGGCGGAUUGGUCAGUCUGAAGUGAAAGCUCCGGGCUCAACCCGGGAAGUGCUUUGGAUAUACUGCCAGGCUUGAGUAUGUGAGAGGUGAGCGGAAUUCCAGGUGUAGCGGUGAAAUGCGUAGAUAUCUGGAGGAACAUCGGUGGCGAAAGCGGCUCACUGGCGCGAGACUGACGCUGAGGCUCGAAAGCGUGGGGAGCGAACGGGAUUAGAUACCCCGGUAGUCCACGCCGUAAACGUUGUGCACUAGGUGUGGGAGGUAUCGACCCCUUCCGUGCCGGAGCUAACGCAUUAAGUGCACCGCCUGGGGAGUACGGUCGCAAGACUGAAACUCAAAGGAAUUGACGGGGGCCCGCACAAGCGGUGGGAGCAUGUGGUUUAAUUCGAGGCAACGCGAAGAACCUUACCCAGACUUGACAUCCCAGGACCGCCUACGAAAGGGAGGGGUGCCUUUCGGGGAACCCGGUGACAGGUGUUGCAUGGCUGUCGUCAGCUCGUGUCGUGAGAUGUUGGGUUAAGUCCCGCAACGAGCGCAACCCCUAUCCUUAGUUACCAGCGGUUCGGCCGGGGACUCUAAGGAGACUGCCUGUGACAAGCAGGAGGAAGGUGGGGACGACGUCAAGUCAUCACGGCCCUUAUGUCUGGGGCUACACACGUGCUACAAUGGCCGGUACAGAGGGUUGCCAACUCGCGAGAGUGCGCCAAUCCCAAAAAGCCGGUCUCAGUUCGGAUUGGAGUCUGCAACUCGACUCCAUGAAGUCGGAAUCGCUAGUAAUCGCGUGUCAGCCAUAACGCGGUGAAUACGUUCCCGGGCCUUGUACACACCGCCCGUCACAUGACCCGAGUCGGUUGCACCCGAAGUCGCUGGCCCAACCCGUUAGGGAGGGAGGCGCCGAAGGUGUGGCUGGUGAGGGGGAUGAAGUCGAAACAAGGUA
rnacentral:rRNA from 1 species